UGUCAUAGUAAAGUAUGGGGUCAAACAUGGUCAAAAAAUGUCAUAGUAAAGUAAGGCGUCAAAAAUGGUCAAAAAAUGUCAUAGUAAAGUAUGGGGUCAAACAUGGUCAAAAAAUGUCAUAGUAAAGUAUGGGGUCAAACAUGGUCAAAAAAUGUCACAGUAAAGUAAGGCGUCAAAAAUGGUCAAAAAAUGUCAUAGUAUAGUAUGGUGUCAAAAAACUUCAAAAAAUGUCAUAGUAUAGUAUGGUGUCAAAAAUGGUCAAAAAAUGUCAUAGUAAAGUAUGGGGUCAAACAUGGUCAAAAAAUGUCAUAGUAAAGUAAGGCGUCAAAAAUGGUCAAAAAAUGUCAUAGUAAAGUAUGGGGUCAAACAUGGUCAAAAAAUGUCAUAGUAAAGUAUGGGGUCAAACAUGGUCAAAAAAUGUCAUAGUAAAGUAAGGCGUCAAAAAUGGUCAAAAAAUGUCAUAGUAUAGUAUGGUGUCAAAAAACUUCAAAAAAUGUCAUAGUAUAGUAUGGGGUCAAACAUGGUCAAAAAAUGUCAUAGUAUAGUAUGGUGUCAAAAAUGGUCAAAAAAUGUCAUAGUAAAGUAAGGCGUCAAAAAUGGUCAAAAAUUGUCAUAGUAAAGUAAGGUGCCAAAAAUGGUCAAAAAAUGCCAUAGUAUAGUAUGGGGUCAAACAUGGUCAAAAAAUGUCAUAGUAUAGUAUGGUGUCAAAAAUGGUCAAAAAAUGUUGUAGUGUAGUAUGGGGUCAAAAAUCACUGAAAAAUGUCAUAGUAUAUUAUGGCGUCAAAAAUGGUCAAAAAAUGUCAUAGUAUAGUAUGGUGUCAAAAAACUUCAAAAAAUGUCAUAGUAUAGUAUGGGGUCAAACAUGGUCAAAAAAUGUCAUAGUAUAGUAUGGCGACAAAAAUGGUCAAAAAAUGUCAUAGUAUAAUAUGGCGUCAAAAAACAUCAAAAAAUGUCAUAGUAUAGUAAGGUGCCAAAAAUGGUCAAAAAAUGUCAUAGUAUGGGGUCAAAAAAUGUCAAAAAAUGUCAUAGUAUGGCGACAAAAAUGGUCAAAAAAUGUCAUAGUAUGGGGUCAAAAAAUGUCA